UAAUGUAUGGGGAUCUGCCCGAUAGAGGGGGAUAACUACUGGAAACGGUGGCUAAUACCGCAUAAUCUCUACGGACCAAAGCAGGGGCUCUUCGGACCUUGCACUAUCGGAUGAACCCAUAUGGGAUUAGCUAGUAGGUGGGGUAAAGGCUCACCUAGGCGACGAUCUCUAGCUGGUCUGAGAGGAUGAUCAGCCACACUGGGACUGAGACACGGCCCAG
rnacentral:rRNA from 1 species